rnacentral:tRNA from 2 species
AUUUUAGUAGCUUAAAUAAAGAGUGUUAUAGUGAAGUUAUAAAGGUAAGUUUUACUUCUAAAAUA